rnacentral:rRNA from 1 species
UACGUAGGUGGCAAGCGUUGUCCGGAUUUAUUGGGUUUAAAGGGUGCGUAGGCGGCCCCACUAAGCCAGUGCUGAAAUAUCCCGGCUUAACCGGGAGGGUGGCAUUGAUACUGGUGGGCUUGAGUACAGAUGAAGUAGGCGGAAUUGACGGUGUAGCGGUGAAAUGCAUAGAUAUCGUCAAGAACACCGAUAGCGAAGGCAGCUUACUAAGCUGUAACUGACGCUGAAGGCAGCGAAAAGUGUGGGGGAGCAAACAGGG